rnacentral:rRNA from 1 species
CUACGGGAUGCUGCAGUCGAGAAUCAUUUGCAAUGCGCGAAAGCGUGACAAUGCGACGCUGCGUGGAGGAUGAAGGCCUUCGGGUUGUAAACUCCUGUCGGGAGGGAAAAAUGGACUUAGGGUGAAUAGCCCUUUGGAAUGAUGGUACCUCCAGAGGAAGCCACGGCUAACUCUGUGCCAGCAGCCGCGGUAAUACAGAGGUGGCGAGCGUUGUUCGGAUUUACUGGGCGUAAAGGGUGCGUAGGUGGUUAAGUAAGUUGGAUGUGAAAGCCCAUGGCCCAACCAUGGAAUGGCAUUUGAUGCUGCUUGACUAGAGUGCAGGAGGGGAGAGCGGAAUUCUUGGAGUAGCGGUGAAAUGCGUUGAUAUCAAGAAGAACACCGGUGGCGAAGGCGGCUCUCUGGAAUGUUACUGACACUGAGGCACGAAAGCUGGGGGAGCAAACAGGAUUAGAUACCCGUGUAGUC